rnacentral:rRNA from 1 species
CCUACGGGUGGCAGCAGUGGGGAAUAUUGCACAAUGGCGGAAACCCUGAUGCAGCGACGCCGCGUGAGUGAAGAAGUAUUUCGGUACGUAAAGCUCUAUUAGCAGGGAAGAAAAUGACGGUACCUGACUAAGAAGCCCCGGCUAACUACGUGCCAGCAGCCGCGGUAAUACGGAGGGGGCAAGCGUUAUCCGGAUUUACUGGGUGUAAAGGGAGCGUAGACGGUAGCGCAAGUCUGGAGUGAAAUCGCAUGGCUUAACCAUGGAACUGCUGUGGAAACUGUACAGCUAGAGUGCAGGAGAGGUAGGCGGAAUGCGUAGUGUAGCGGUGAAAUGCGUAGAUAUUAGGCAGAACACCAGUUGCGAAGGCGGCUUACUGGACUGUAACUGACGCUGAGGCACGAAAGCGUGGGGAGCAAACAGGAUUAGAUACCCUAGUAGUC